GACCUUUGGGAUACUAGUCCAAUGCUCUACCAACUGAGCUACGAGCUCAGUUGGCAGAGCAUUGGAUUAGUAUCCCAAAGGUC